rnacentral:rRNA from 1 species
GAUGAACGCUGGCGGCGUGCUUAACACAUGCAAGUCGAACGAAGCACUUUGAAAGCUUGCUUUUGGAGUGACUGAGUGGCGGACGGGUGAGUAACGCGUGGGUAACCUGCCUUAUACAGGGGGAUAACAGUUGGAAACGACUGCUAAUACCGCAUAAGCGCACAGUGCCGCAUGGCACAGUGUGAAAAACUCCGGUGGUAUAAGAUGGAACCGCGUCUGAUUAGCUAGUUGGUGAGGUAACGGCUCACCAAGGCGAGGAUCAGUAGCCGGCUUGAGAGAGUGAUCGGCCACAUUGGGACUGAGACACGGCCCAAACUCCUACGGGAGGCAGCAGUGGGGAAUAUUGCACAAUGGGGGGAACCCUGAUGCAGCAACGCCGCGUGAGUGAAGAAGUAUUUCGGUAUGUAAAGCUCUAUCAGCAGGGAAGAUAAUGACGGUACCUGACUAAGAAGCCCCGGCUAACUACGUGCCAGCAGCCGCCGCCGUAA